AUUGAACGCUGGCGGCAGGCUUAACACAUGUAAGUCGAACGAGUGGCGGACGGGUGAGUUAUUCUUGGGAAUCUUGCUUAUGGAGGGGGAUAACGACGGGAAACUGUUGCUAAUACCGCCUACCAUAGGAUGCGCCCAAUUGGGAUUAGGUAGUUGGUGGGGUAAUGGCCUACCAAGCCGACGAUCCCUAGCUGGUCUGAGAGGAUGACAAGCCACACCGGGACUGAGACACGGCCCGGACUCCUACGGGAGGCAGCAGUGGGGAAUAUUGCGCAAUGGGGGCAACCUGACGCAGCCAUGCCGCGUGAAUGAAGAAGGCCUUCGGGUUGUAAAGUUCUUUCGGUAACGAGGCGUUAAUUACAGAAGAAGCACCGGCUAACUACGUGCCAGCCGCCGCGGUAAUAC
rnacentral:rRNA from 1 species